rnacentral:rRNA from 1 species
GGGGGAUCGGCUCAUAGCGUAUAUUAAGUUGUUGCAGUUAAAAGCUCGUAGUUGAACUUUGGGCCUGGGCGGACGGUCUACCUAUGGUAAGCACUGUUGCGGCCGGGUCUUUCCUUCUGGCUAGCCCUCGGGCGAACCAGGACGAUUACUUUGAGGAAAUUAGAGUGUUCAAAGCAGGCCUUUGCUCGGAUAUAUUAGCAUGGAAUAAUAGAAUAGGACGCAUGGUUCUAUUUUGUUGGUUUCUAGGACCAUCGUAAUGAUUAAUAGGGACGGUCGGGGGCAUCAGUAUUCAGUCGUCAGAGGUGAAAUUCUUGGAUUGACUGAAGACUAACUACUGCGAAAGCAUUUGCCAAGGACGUUUCCAUUAAUCAAGAACGAAAGUUAGGGGAUCGAAGACUCAGAAUAUCCGGGUA